UGCUCCGUUCCACUUUUCCUCGAAGAAGAGAAAAAAAAUGAUUUUUACUCAUAAAAUUAACAAAUUUAUUUAUCUUAGAAAAAUAAAAACAAAAUCCAGGAAAAUAAAAAGAAAAAAAUCGAGAGAACAAAAAAAUGAAACCCUUAAAAAAACCUAAAAACCAUUCUUCUCUGCCGCCCUCCAUCUCUUGCCUCUUUCCUUCUCUGGUCUCCUUUGAUUUAUUUUAUCUCUUGAUUUCUCAUUGUGUUAUUGAUUAAUAGGAUCGAAGAAGUAAGGCACAUAUAUGUAACAGCUUGGCUCAGCGAAAGAAAAGAUGCAGCAGUUGUAGUGUGGCAGAUAUAUCCUAAUCGCUAGAAGUACUACUCAUGCCUUAUAAUAUGCAAGAGAGGUGGAAGCUGGUCUGAUGGAAUACAAACUAGACAUCAUCAUUAGUGUGCAUCCCCUUAUGCAACACAUUCCCUUAUGGGUGCUUAAAUGGCAGAGCCUUCAGAAGAAGGUUGUAUUUGUUACUGUUAUUACAGAUCUCAACACAUGCCAUUGCACACGGUGAUCUCUUUUACUCUUAUCAGUGUGAAUUAAUGCCUCUGCUGCUCCCAUAUAUUCAGGAAUAGUUUUAAAUUGGCUUUCAAAUGAGUGAAAUAUUUUACAAGAAGUAUAUUUUAGACCAUGCGUUUGAUGCACAGAAGAGGGAUCAGUUUAUUCAUAAUAUCAUACUUCGCUUGAGGAUGAUCUCUGAGCUUAUACAAUCAUCUUUGGUAUGAGUGAUAUCGAUGUUGCCUUGAGAUGUUGAAGCCUGCUAAGUGUUUGGUAUACUUGAGACGGAGUUAAAUGUUGGUAUUUGAAUUUGCAAAAUUAGAGAUGGCCGUGUCAUGGUUGGUGUUGCAAAACCAGGGUUUGAUGCAUGUUGUUGGGAAGAGAUAAUUAUCUAAUUCUUUAUCUAUGAACUGAACUAAAUAAAACCCAUCGUAGUUAAAUAUGAUUUAAAACUCAUUAAUUGAAAGUUUGGAUAUUUAUGUGUUUAGUUUAACUUUAAAAUAUCAUCGUUAUAGGAUUAGUGCGUGCUUCAGAUGGACUCACAGCUACAAUUGCCCAUUUGAAACAGUGAUUACACUUCGUGGAACCAUUUUUCACGAUUUGGAGUAAUUCUGGCACUCCGACUCAAAACAUAGUAGAUAUAGGUAC